UUUCUGCCUGAUCCAUGACUUCCCUUCGGGAUCCCAAAGGGAAUCAUCAAUGUUCCAAUAACGUGGUUCCAGCCCCUGCCUUCUGAGAGGAGGUGAAGCACCAGCAGAGGCUUCCCAAAGAGGUAACAGGAAUUCCUUCCUUGAAGAGUCUCAGAACUUGACAAGCCACUGAACAACUUGAAUAACUUUGACCUCAGCCCUGCUCCAAAGAGGAGACCAAAGGCUCCACAGGGCCUUUCCAACCUGAACUAUACCUAAGCCUGUCUUUCUUCACUGGGGCCAGCACCAUUUCUGGAAAAUAUAAGAUGAACACCUGUACAAAUACCUGACUUAACUAUUUCUGGCAAAUGCGAGUCUUAUCAAAGCCUCUAAUGAGCAUCUGUCACCAUGGCAAGAAACACACAAGAUCCUUCAAAACAGAAGUGGCCACUUCUGAUCUCACUUAGUACAAAUCACUGUAAAUCAAACUCCAUGAGUGAGUUUAAAACAGCAAGACAAUCAGAA